AGGAGGAGCAACACUUGGGUUGUACAUGCCGUUUUGAGGAUAUGGCAUUUGAGGUACAAGGGAAGGUUGCAUAACAGGAUUGGGUAUAGCUUGCGAAGGAUGUACCAUAUUAGGAGCAGCUAAUCCAGCAAAAUCAGUUGUAGUGCUAGGGAUGUUUGGUUGACCAAAAGUAACAUUACCAAUACUAGCCGCACUAAUCGCCGGGUCCAAUGAAGAGAUGUUUUCUCGAGUUACUUGAGCAGCCAUUUCGGAUGGAACAAUGGGAAUAGCGGGUUGAGAAGGUGGUUUUGGAGCGGUCAUUGAGUUCAAUAACUGUUCCUCCAACUCCUGCAAGCUAAAAACCUUCUCAGAUGGUUGGGCACCCAAACGAUCUUGAAGAGAGGCUACCUCAGGUGGAAUAAUAGCCGGCUUUUCUGGAACAAUAUUUUCCCAAAUCGAAGCCAUAGGCUGCAAAUCGGAAAGCUUAUUGAUCGCAGUAGACGCAGGUUCCCGUGAAGGAAAUUGUGAAGCACCAUUAAGUCUACUAACUUGAGGUAACUCUGAAGAAGCUGGUUUGACAGGUUUAGCGAAAAUAUUUUGUUGAUUAAUUUGGUACUGCUCAUCUUCCAAUUGUGCAGAUGCUUGAGCGGUAGUACCUGAAAAAUCAAAAUCACGUCCUAGAAUUGUGAGAAAAAAUAUUAAAAUAUUAAAUACUAAUAGCUUGCAAUAUCCCAGAUAUGACAGCCGAGAAUGAUUACAGAAUCACAAGCACAAAGGUACAUACCUAUACUUCCAGCGCUAACACCAAAAGUCUCGUCGUUUAGUUCAUCUCCGGCUUCAUUUAAUUGAUUACCCAAAUCGUCGUAGGUCUCCUCAAAGUCAAUGCUAAAUAUACUUGUGAGCUUAAAGUAUCAUAUUUACAUUAAUAUUAACGACUUACCCAUCCUCUUCUAACUGCCCUUCGUUAGGAAACAUAUUUUCCUUUGGAAGGGUAGUAUUAAACCCAAAAAAUGACAUUUUAUGGGUUUAUGGUAAUGAGAAGUUGGUGGUAGCUAGGUGGGCGGCACUGCAUACAACAAUACUCAUGACAGUAGAUUGGGUUGGUUCGACGCAGACUGAUUCAUGGCGUUUUAUAUAUAUUUUUACUUUGCGUUCUUUUUUUAUAUCUGAAUUUUAAAGUUGUUAUUUGGUUUGCUAUACCAGUAAAUCUAUCCCUAUUUUAUUUCACAUCAAUCUUCAAGACUAGCUAUUA